rnacentral:rRNA from 1 species
GAUGAACGCUGGCGGCGUGCCUAAUACAUGCAAGUUGAGCGAACGGACGAGAAGCUUGCUUCUCUGAUGUUAGCGGCGGACGGGUGAGUAACACGUGGAUAACCUACCUAUAAGACUGGGAUAACUUCGGGAAACCGGAGCUAAUACCGGAUAAUAUUUUGAACCGCAUGGUUCAAAAGUGAAAGACGGUCUUGCUGUCACUUAUAGAUGGAUCCGCGCUGCAUUAGCUAGUUGGUAAGGUAACGGCUUACCAAGGCAACGAUGCAUAGCCGACCUGAGAGGGUGAUCGGCCACACUGGAACUGAGACACGGUCCAGACUCCUACGGGAGGCAGCAGUAGGGAAUCUUCCGCAAUGGGCGAAAGCCUGACGGAGCAACGCCGCGUGAGUGAUGAAGGUCUUCGGAUCGUAAAACUCUGUUAUUAGGGAAGAACAUAUGUGUAAGUAACUGUGCACAUCUUGACGGUACCUAAUCAGAAAACCACGGCUAACUACGUG